rnacentral:lncRNA from 1 species
UCCGCACCGGUAAGAACGCAUCCGAUAUCAGUUAUGUUUAAAUUAAUAUCAAUAAAUACACUUCAAACACUUAGAACAGACUGACUCUUUAUUUCACGUAUUGACACAUUUUUACAUAUACUUCUUAUUUACAUGUUGAUACUCAUGCAUGAUAUCACAUCAUCUCCCUCCUUAGUUCUAUCUUACUCGAUUUUUUUUCGAACUUCUGACUCCGAGUUCAUGAGUAUCUCCAUUGUCUUCCACACAUCCCAUUUCUUCCCCUUUUCUCAGCCUCAAGAAACGUCUAUCUCACCAUAUAAUUCUUCAUGUAUUUAAUCGAACUUGGUAUUUUCUAUUUUGUUCCUUUCCAAUAAUCCGUCCGUCAUCCGACCAUCAAUUAUUCCUGUAAUUUUGCACUAUCGCCUUCAUUCUUAUUUUCAAUUUUGAUCUUGGACCAUAGCUCUUCCUAUGAAUAGCUAAACGCGAUCUUAUUGGGUGAUCUUCCCUCUACCUUUGGAGUGUUUCGAAAUUCCAGGAUUCCAUAAGGUACCCAUGUACUCCCCACAUCAUCAAGAAUGUCUGAAAUUCCCUGGAAAUAAACUGAGGGCCUUGAUCUGUUUUUAUUUUCACUUGAAUCCCGGUUUCAGAAAAUAUUGUUCUAACAGUCACUAUUACUUCUUCUGAAGAUGGAACUCUUUUGAAUUCCUCUACAUAAGGAUAUCUUCAAAGACGAUCUCCGUAUACCAAGUAAUGUUUUUUCUUCAGUACUCAAACAAAUCUCCAGACGUGCUCUCGAAUGGCCUCAUAGGUAUUGGGUCCCUCAUCAUCGUUUCUUCUGGCCAAUAAAUCGCCUGCCUAGCUCUUCUUUUCGUCUUCUCGAUACCUUGAUGUGAACUGUGCAAUCCCUGAAGAGCUUGAACUUGCCUCUCUUUUCGAAUUACCAGCCUAUUACCUUAUGCAACAAGACUAUUUUCAGUACUUAAAUCAUUUAACAUCUUGGAAAAUUGUUGUUCUGAAUCGUUUAUACAAUUGUCUUCAACUGCAUUGACUAAAUCUUUAUAUGUUUGAUCUUUCAUUCCCUUUUUUCUAAUAUAUUCCAUUAAUGGAU